rnacentral:rRNA from 1 species
UACGGAGGGUGCAAGCGUUAAUCGGAAUUACUGGGCGUAAAGCGCACGCAGGCGGUUUGUUAAGUCAGAUGUGAAAUCCCCGGGCUCAACCUGGGAACUGCAUCUGAUACUGGGAAGCUUGAGUCUCGUAGAGGGGGGUAGAAUUCCAGGUGUAGCGGUAAAAUGCGUAGAGAUCUGGAGGAAUACCGGUUGCGAAGGCGAUCCCCUGGACCAAGACUGACGCUCAGGUGCGAAAGCGUGGGGAGCAAACAGG